GUAGUAAAAGCGCGCCGGUAGGGUGGUUUCAGUCAAAGUUGAUUGUGAAAUCCCCCGGCUCAACCUGGGAGCUGCAUUCCAAAGCUGCUGAGCUAGAGUACCGGUAAGAGGGGUGGUGGUACUUUCCUGUGUAGCGGUGAAAUGCGUAGAUAUAGGAAGGAACACCAGUGGAGAAAGGCGACCAUCUGGACUGAUACUGACACUGAGGUGCGAAAGCGUGGGGGAGCAAAACAGGAUUAGAUACCGUGGUAGUCCACGCCGUAAAACGAUGUCGACUAGCUGUUGGGAUCCUUGAGAUCUUAGUGGCGCAGCUAACGCGAUAAGUCGACCGCCUGGGGAGUACGGCCGCAAGGUUAAAACUCAAAUGAAUUGACGGGGGCCCGCACAAGCGGUGGAGCAUGUGGUUUAAUUAGAAGCAACGAGAAGAACCUUACCUGGCCUUGACAUGCUGAGAACUUUCCAGAGAUGGAUUGGUGCCUUCGGGAACUCAGACACAGGUGGUGCAUGGCUGUUGUCAGCUCGUGUCGUGAGAUGUUGGGUUAAGUCCCGUAACGAGCGCAACCCUUGUCUUUAGUUACCAGCACCUCGGGUGGGCACUUUAAGGAGACUGCCGGUGACAAACCGGAGGAAGGUGGGGAUGACGUCAAGUCAUCAUGGCCCUUACGGCCAGGGCUACACACGUGUUACAAUGGUCGGUACAAAGGGUUGCCAAGCCGCGAGGUGGAGCUAAUCCCAUAAAACCGAUUGUAGUCCGGAUCGCAGUCUGCAAUUCGAUUGCGUGAAGUCGGAAUCGUUAGUAAUCGUGAAUCAGAAUGUCGCGGUGAAUACGUUCCCGGGCCUUGUACACACCGCCCGUCACACCAUGGGAGUGGGUUGCUCCAGAAGUAAAUAGUCUAACCGCAAGGGGGCCGGUUACCACGGAGGGAUUUCAGAC
rnacentral:rRNA from 1 species